rnacentral:rRNA from 1 species
UACGAAGGGGGCGAGCGUUGUUCGGAUUUACUGGGCGUAAAGGGCGCGCAGGCGGCCGGCCAAGUCAGGCGUGAAAGCCCCCGGGCUUAACCUGGGAAUUGCGUCUGGGACUGGUUGGCUAGAGAUCGGGAGAGGAGAGUGGAAUUCCCAGUGUAGAGGUGAAAUGCGCAGAUAUCAGGAGGAACACCAAUGGCGAAGGCAGCUCACUGGGACGGUAUUGACGCUGAGACGCGAAAGCGUGGGGAGCAAACAGG